CUAAGUUUGAUGGCGACCGGCGCACGGGUGAGUAACACGUAUCCAACCUGCCGAUGACUCGGGGAUAGCCUUUCGAAAGAAAGAUUAAUACCCGAUGGCAUAGUUCUUCCGCAUGGUAGAACUAUUAAAGGAUUUCGGUCAUCGAUGGGGAUGCGUUCCAUUAGGUUGUUGGCGGGGUAACGGCCCACCAAGCCCUCGAUGGAUAGGGGUUCUGAGAGGAAGGUCCCCCACAUUGGAACUGAGACACGGUCCAAACUCCUACGGGAGGCAGCAUG
rnacentral:rRNA from 1 species